rnacentral:lncRNA from 1 species
UCGGAUAGAUACUUCGAUUUCUAGAUUGAAGAUGAGGAUUAGAUCUCCCAAAUGGAUGCCAUGCAGGGAUCUAACUUUGAGAAGUGGCUUGGAGCCAUUAAAUCUAAAAUGAAGUCCAUGAAGAUCGAUAAUAUAUAGACAUUCAUUGAUUCACCUGAAGGGAUAAGACCCAUAGGAUGUAAGUAGAUUUUAGAUGGAUAAGAGGCAC